ACAAAUAUUGUAUGCAGUCGCAUACAUAAACCGUGUGCAAACCGAGUCCAGUUGCCGAAUUGGACUUUGGAUUAUAUAUGUUUAGAGUCUAAAAUCAUUAUUAAUUGAAAA
rnacentral:misc_RNA from 1 species